rnacentral:sRNA from 1 species
GAGGCUUUCUGACCCGGAAUGGAGGAGGCGGAGGAGCUGCUCUUGGAGGGGAAGAAGGCGCUGCAACUCGCCCGCGAGCCGCGCCUGGGCCUGGACUUAGGAUGGAAUCCUUCCGGAGAAGGCUGUACGCAGGGCCUCAAAGACGUCCCACCCAAGCCGACCCGAGACAUCCUCGCUUUAAAGAGCCUUCCCCGGGGCUUGGCCCUUGGCCCCUCACUCGCCAAGGAACAGCGCUUGGGGGUCUGGUGUGUCGGGGACCCCCUGCAGCCCGGCCUGCUGUGGGGGCCGCUGGAAGAGGAGUCUGCCUCCAAGGAGAAGGGCGAGGGAGUAAAGCCACGGCAGGAGGAGGUAUUGAAGGACAGAGCGACUUCUCUCCGCCCUUGAAAAUGUAGGGGGAGGUUUGGACAUUGCUAGACAGCUUUUCAAUUUGAAGAAAGAGAGUAUUUCAAGAGAUAGGAGAUAGUCUUGUCCCUUCUCUUCAGGACUGUCUCCUCUCAGCAGCAGUAAAGAAUCGAGGUUUGAAAAGUUGUUGAAAGCUGGAAUCAUACAGUGUCAGCAGUGAGUGAGGAAGG